CACCUACGGGUGGCAGCAGUGGGGAAUAUUGCACAAUGGGCGCAAGCCUGAUGCAGCAACGCCGCGUGAGGGACGACGGCCUUCGGGUUGUAAACCUCUUUUAGCAGGGAAGAAGCGAAAGUGACGGUACCUGCAGAAAAAGCACCGGCUAACUACGUGCCAGCAGCCGCGGUAAUACGUAGGGUGCAAGCGUUAUCCGGAAUUAUUGGGCGUAAAGAGCUCGUAGGCGGUUUGUCGCGUCUGCUGUGAAAACCCGAGGCUCAACCUCGGGCCUGCAGUGGGUACGGGCAGACUAGAGUGCGGUAGGGGAGAUUGGAAUUCCUGGUGUAGCGGUGGAAUGCGCAGAUAUCAGGAGGAACACCGAUGGCGAAGGCAGAUCUCUGGGCCGUAACUGACGCUGAGGAGCGAAAGGGUGGGGAGCAAACAGGCUUAGAUACCCUGGUAGUCCACCCCGUAAACGUUGGGAACUAGUUGUGGGGUCCAUUCCACGGAUUCCGUGACGCAGCUAACGCAUUAA
rnacentral:rRNA from 1 species